rnacentral:tRNA from 1 species
CGCGGGGUGGAGCAGCCUGGUAGCUCGUCGGNCUCAUAACCCGAAGGUCGUCGGUUCAAAUCCGGCCCCCGCAACCA